UCAUUGCAUUUAAGAAAUCUUGGACUAGUGAAGGGCAAAGAAGCAGCUAAACAAGCAAAAUUGUUCGAAAAGCCAGAUCUAUCUCGCUUGGUGUUUUUGAAUGGGAAAGGUGGGAUCGAGAAAGCGAUAACUGUGAUGAGGAUGUAUUGGAAGGUCUCCAAUCUCACCCAAAUUUGCAAGAGUUGGAAAUUCGAUAUUUUAUGGGUAAUAAAUUUCCGCAAUGGCUUAUCAAUUUGUCAAAAUUGGGAAUAGAAGAUUGUCAAAGAUGCUGUGAACUCCCCGCAUUAGGACAACUGCCAUCCCUCAAACAUCUCUAUUUGGCACGAUUGGACAACAUCCGAUCUGUUGGAGAUGAAUUCUACGGUAUUAAUACUAAUGAGGAGGAGGAGGAGGGCAGAUCACGAGCAUCAGGGAGCUGCGCUAGAAGACGAAAAUUCUUUCCAGCCCUUGAAGAACUCCGCGUAGAAUAUAUGAGGAAUUUGGUAGAGUGGAAGGAUGCAGACCAAGUGAGAUCAACAACAGGUGAAGUAGAAACUGAUGUCUUUCCUAUGCUGAGGGAUUUGAUGCUCGUGGGAUGCUACAAUCUUAGGGAGCUACCAAAAGAUGUGUUUGGAACGAGUUUGCAGUGGUUGAUCAUCUCAGGUUGUGCUGUGCAAGAUUAAUUAGUCUGGGAGUAAAUGGACAGAAAUGCCCCCUACCAUGUCUUGAGCAAUUGAGAAUUUGUGAGUGUGAGGGGUUGACCACUUUGCCCUACAAAAUGUUCGAGUCAUGCCCGUCUCUGUGGUACCUGGAGGUGGUGAGCUGCCCCAAUUUGGUGUUGUUUUCACUUAAUUUGCAGGAGACGUCAUCUCUCGAGAAAUUCAUCUUAGUCAGAUGUCCCAAAUUGAUCCCUCAUAGGUUCAAAGGAUUUGCUUUUGCCACCAGCUUAAGAAAAUUACAAAUCGGUCCCUUCUCCUCAGAUGACUCCUCAAUCGAUGGUUUUGAUUGGUCUGGUUUAAGAUCUGCAUCAACACUUACGAGGGUUGCCUCACACGGAUUCCCUGCCACACCAGCUUCAAUACUUGACUACCCUCACUUCACUAAGGCUGGACAACUUUGGAGGAAUAGAAGUGCUACCGGAUUGGAUUGGAAACCUUGUGUCUCUUGAAACCCUAUGGCUAUGGUCUUGCCAAAAGCUUCAAUCUUUACCAUCCGAGGCCGCCAUGAGACGCCUCACCAAGUUAACUCGUGUUGAAGUUUAUUGGUGUCCUCUACUAAGACAACAAUACUCUCCCCAAAGAGGCAUCUACUACUUGGAGGAGGAGAUUUCAAGUGAUCCAAGUCUUAGGAGGCAUAGCUUAUGUUGUUGGAGAAAGGACAGCAUCGUUUGUUGUUGCAUUUCUUACUAGAAUACCAAGGGACAGAAGUUAUUUUCAUUGACCAGACAGGGUUUGAAGAUGAAGGCAAUUAUCAAUGAUGUUUAUUAAGCUCAUUAGAUAUCAUUAACUAUGAUGGAGGCUUCAUAAAUAGUUGGUUCUCCCCAAGUUUCUCAAACAUAAGUUUUUCAUCUUCUACUCAGACUGCAGAAAGGAAGCAUGCUGAUUGCUGAACUGAAAAUGGCUAGUAGCAGGCCUGCAAAGUAUGAUAUGGAGGAAGAAGAAAUUGGGGGGAAGGGGGGGGGAGCAUGGAGGCUGACACUGGAGAGCUAUCAACAUACAAGGCUUAUUUCAAUCAAACUGGAGUUGGUCUAUUGGUUCAGAAGGGAUUUCUGGGAAAGAGUUGGAUGCAUCAGAAUGAUGUGAUAAGUACAUCCUGAUAACCGUCCAAGGUUCCAGAGGGAGUAUGUUGAGCACAAUAACAAGCUGUUGUACUACAUCCUUGAUAUGUCCUGUUCCUGGCACCAUCAAGAUUGAAGAUUUGGAGAAUCAACAGCAAGGCCUUGUCAGUGAAUUUGAAAGUUUGGAUAUAUUGCUUCAGUUGAUGCAGCAAAAGCCAACUGAUUUCAUGGCAGAAACAUGAUUUCUCACUUUUGCGAUUUUUUCCCCUCGUUUGAAUAAUGUACAUGACAGGGUGUCGAGCCUGUGCAAUAAUAAAUACCUGCUCAAAUAAAAUACAAAUUCUGUA